rnacentral:rRNA from 1 species
AUUUCGCGCCACACUUGGACUGAAGAACCGUCAGAUCUACGGAGCAGCAGUAAGGAUCCUCGCACGAACGAAGUCUGACGAGCACGCGCGUGAGUGAAGAAGUUUCGAUCGUAAACUCUGUGUGGAGGGAGACAGUACCACUACUACUGUACCUUGACGGUACCUCACCAGAAAGCCACGGCUACUACGUGCCAGCAGCCGCGGUAAUACGUAGGUGGCAAGCGUUGUCCGGGAAUUAUUGGGCGUAAAGCGCGCGCAGGCGGUCCUUUUAAGUCUGAUGUGAAAGCCCACGGCUCAACCGUGGAGGGUCAUUGGAAACUGGGGGACUUGAGUGCAGAAGAGGAAAGUGGAAUUCCACGUGUAGCGGUGAAAUGCGUAGAGAUGUGGAGGAACACCAGUGGCGAAGGCGACUUUCUGGUCUGUAACUGACGCUGAGGCGCGAAAGCGUGGGGAGCAAACAGGAUUAGAUACCCUGGUAGUCCACGCCGUAAACGAUGAGUGCUAAGUGUUAGGGGGUUUCCGCCCCUUAGUGCUGCAGCUAACGCAUUAAGCACUCCGCCUGGGGAGUACGGCCGCAAGGCUGAAACUCAAAGGAAUUGACGGGGGCCCGCACAAGCGGUGGAGCAUGUGGUUUAACUCGAAGCAACGCGAAGAACCUUACCAGGUC